AUACGGAGGAUCCGAGCGUUAUCCGGAUUUAUUGGGUUUAAAGGGUGCGCAGGCGGCCAUUUAAGUCAGCGGUUAAAUCGUGGGGCUCAACCCCAUUCUGCCGUUGAUACUGGGUGGCUUGAUUGCGGUCGAGGUUGGCGGAAUUCGUUGUGUAGCGGGGAAAUGCAUAGAUAUGACGAAGAACACCGAUUGCGUAGGCAGCUGACCAGACCGCAAAUGACGCUCAUGCACGAAAGUGCGGGGAUCGAACAGGAUUAGAUACCCUGGUAGUCCGCACAGUAAACGAUGAAUACUUGUUUUCGGCGAUAUAAUGUCGGAGGCAAAGCGAAAGCGAUAAGUAUUCCACCUGGGGAGUACGCCGGCAACGGUGAAACUCAAAUGAAUGGGCGGGG
rnacentral:rRNA from 1 species